rnacentral:rRNA from 1 species
AUGCCGGUGAUGGUUCGAGGCUAUGUCCCCGAGCAUGUCUGGCGAGUGCUUGCCGAGCUAAGCCAUUUCUUCCGCACGCUCUGUGCUAAAGAAGUAAGUAAAGACGUGAUUGAAAAUUUGCAUAAGAAGGCACCGGAGUUGAUAGUCAAGCUAGAGAAGAUCUUUCCGUCAGGCUUCUUUACACCGAUGACACAUCUCAUUCUGCACCUCGCGAACGAGGUAUUGUUGGGGGGGCUGUGCAGAAUCGCUGGCAGUACGGCCCUGAGAGACAGAACAAGCAUCUCCGACAGAAAUGUGGAAACAAAGCUAAGAUUGAAGCUUCCAUAG